GUUGUAUAGUUAAGUGACUAAGCGUACAAGGUGGAUGCCUUGGCAAUCAGAGGCGAAGAAGGACGUGCUAAUCUGCGAAAAGCUUGGAUGAGUCGAUAAGAGGCGUUUAAUCCAAGAUAUCCGAAUGGGGAAACCCAGUAGAUGAAGAAUCUACUAUCAACAAGUGAAUUCAUAGCUUGUUGAGGCAAACCGGGAGAACUGAAACAUCUAAGUACCCCGAGGAAAAGAAAUCAACCGAGAUUUCGUCAGUAGCGGCGAGCGAAAGCGAAAGAGCCAGUAAGUGAUAACAGUAUGGUUAGGAGAAUGUGUUGGGAAGCACAAUCAAAGAGGGUGAUAAUCCCGUAUCUAAAAACCAUAUUGUGGUACUAAGCUAACGAGAAGUAGGGCGGGACACGUGAUAUCCUGUUUGAAGAAGGGGGGACCAUCCUCCAAGGCUAAAUACUCCUGAUUGACCGAUAGUGAACCAGUACUGUGAAGGAAAGGCGAAAAGAACCCCGGUGAGGGGAGUGAAAUAGAACCUGAAACCUUGUACGUACAAGCAGUGGGAGCCUGAAAGGGUGACUGCGUACCUUUUGUAUAAUGGGUCAGCGACUUAUAUUUUGUAGCGAGGUUAACCGAAUAGGGGAGCCGAAGGGAAACCGAGUCUUAACUGGGCGAAGAGUUGCAAGGUAUAGACCCGAAACCCGGUGAUCUAGCCAUGGGCAGGUUGAAGGUUGGGUAACACUAACUGGAGGACCGAACCGACUAAUGUUGAAAAAUUAGCGGAUGACUUGUGGCUGGGGGUGAAAGGCCAAUCAAACCGGGAGAUAGCUGGUUCUCCCCGAAAUCUAUUUAGGUAGAGCCUUGAGGUGACACCUUUGGGGGUAGAGCACUGUUUCGGCUAGGGGUCCAUCCCGGAUUACCAACCCGAUGCAAACUACGAAUACCAAAGAGUGAUACUCAGGAGACACACGGCGGGUGCUAACGUCCGUCGUGGAGAGGGAAACAACCCAGACCGCCAGCUAAGGUCCCCAAGUCUAUAUUAAGUGGGAAACGAAGUGGGAAGGCUUAGACAGCUAGGAUGUUGGCUUAGAAGCAGCCAUCAUUUAAAGAAAGCGUAAUAGCUCACUAGUCGAGUCGGCCUGCGCGGAAGAUGUAACGGGGCUGAAAUAUAGCACCGAAGCUGCGGCAUCAGGCGUAAGUCUGUUGGGUAGGGGAGCGUUCUGUAAGCGGAUGAAGGUGAAUCGAGAGGUUAGCUGGACGUAUCAGAAGUGCGAAUGCUGACAUAAGUAACGAUAAAACGGGUGAAAAACCCGUUCGCCGGAAGACCAAGGGUUCCUGUCCAACGUUAAUCGGGGCAGGGUGAGUCGGCCCCUAAGGCGAGGCUGAAAAGCGUAGUCGAUGGGAAACAGGUUAAUAUUCCUGUACUUGGUAAAGCUGCGAUGUGGGGACGGAGUAGGUUAGGUUAUCGCACUGUUGGAUAUGUGCGUUUAAGUUGGUAGGUGGGAAGUUUAGGCAAAUCCGGACUUCUAUUAAACACUGAGAGAUGAUGACGAGGCUCUAAGGAGCUGAAGUAACUGAUACCACACUUCCAGGAAAAGCCACUAAGCGACAGGCUUUACUAAACCGUACUGAAAACCGACACAGGUGGUCAGGUAGAGAAUACUCAGGCGCUUGAGAGAACUCGGGUGAAGGAACUAGGCAAAAUAGCACCGUAACUUCGGGAGAAGGUGCGCCGGCGUAGAUUGUAGUCCUUUGCGGGCGAAGGUUGAACCGGUCGAAGAUACCAGCUGGCUGCAACUGUUUAUUAAAAACACAGCACUCUGCAAACACGAAAGUGGAGGUAUAGGGUGUGAUGCCUGCCCGGUGCUGGAAGGUUAAUUGAUGGUGUAAUCGCAAGAGAAGCACCUGAUCGAAGCCCCAGUAAACGGCGGCCGUAACUAUAACGGUCCUAAGGUAGCGAAAUUCCUUGUCGGGUAAGUUCCGACCUGCACGAAUGGCAUAAUGAUGGCCAGGCUGUCUCCACCCGAGACUCAGUGAAAUUGAAAUCGCCGUGAAGAUGCGGUGUACCCGCGGCUAGACGGAAAGACCCCGUGAACCUUUACUAUAGCUUGACACUGAACAUUGAAUUUUGAUGUGUAGGAUAGGUGGGAGACUUAGAAGUAGUCACGCCAGUGAUUAUGGAGUCAUCCUUGAAAUACCACCCUUUAACGUUUGAUGUUCUAACGAAGAUUGCGGAACGCGGUCUCGGACAGUGUCUGGUGGGUAGUUUGACUGGGGCGGUCUCCUCCCAAAGCGUAACGGAGGAGCACGAAGGUUUGCUAAUCACGGUCGGACAUCGUGAGGUUAGUGCAAUGGUAUAAGCAAGCUUAACUGCGAGACAGACAAGUCGAGCAGGUACGAAAGUAGGUCAUAGUGAUCCGGUGGUUCUGAAUGGAAGGGCCAUCGCUCAACGGAUAAAAGGUACUCCGGGGAUAACAGGCUGAUACCGCCCAAGAGUUCAUAUCGACGGCGGUGUUUGGCACCUCGAUGUCGGCUCAUCACAUCCUGGGGCUGAAGUAGGUCCCAAGGGUAUGGCUGUUCGCCAUUUAAAGUGGUACGCGAGCUGGGUUUAGAACGUCGUGAGACAGUUCGGUCCCUAUCUGCCGUGGGCGUAGGAGAAUUGGUUGGGGCUGCUCCUAGUACGAGAGGACCGGAGUGGACGCACCACUGGUGUUCCGGUUGUGUCGCCAGACGCAUUGCCGGGUAGCUAAGUGCGGAAGAGAUAAGUGCUGAAAGCAUCUAAGCACGAAACUUGCCAAGAGAUGAGUUCUCCCUGUCUUUAAGACAGUAAGGGUUGUUUAAGACGAAGACGUAGAUAGGUCUGGUGUGUAAGUGAUGUGAGUCAUUGAGCUAACAGAUACUAAUUGCCCGAGAGGCUUAACUAUACAACGCUCAAG
rnacentral:rRNA from 1 species